AGACACAAUCACUUCACUCAGAGGGAAGAGAUGAAGGAAAUGAUGCCAGGCUACUAUGAUGAUGUCAUCACUGAUGGACUGAAACCAGAUCGUAAAACAGUGGACUCACUGGAGCAUUAUGAUGAUGUCAUAAUUACCUGGACAGAACUUUAAAUGUGUAACAGAGGGAGAUCAGGAGGUAUG